rnacentral:lncRNA from 1 species
CGUGAUGGUGGACGCGUUCCUUUACCUCCCGUUCCUGAUAUUGUGGAUGGUAAUCUCGAAUUCGAAGUCGAAAAAAUCCUGGACCAUCGUAUUGUGAAAAGCAAGGGUAAAUCUGCUAAGCGUGGCGCUAAGCGAUUCUUCCUGCUUCGUUGGAAAGGCCAGGGUCCUGAGUAUGACUCUUGGGAGCCUGAGUCUAAUCUUACUAACUGCGCUGAUCUCCUGCGUGAUUACUGGGCAUCCUCUCCUGCGACAAAUCCUAUUCCUGGCCCUUCGUCCCAAAACACUCCAGAUAGUGUUCUUCCUGAGUCUCCUCCAGUUGAGACUACUCCUGUCGUGCCUCCAAUUCCUACUCCUGCGCAAACUCCUAUUCCUGAGGUGCGUACUACUCGUUCUGGCCGCGUGAUUCGACCACCUGCCCGGACACUCCUUCUUCUCGCUCUUCUUCGCAGCAAUCCCGUCAGUGAGGCGCUUACUGCUUUGCUCUUACACGGUUAUCCGUGGCGGCGGAAUUGAAGCGGGUCUGUCGAGGACGAACAGACUUUAAGAGGGGGAGAAUGUUAUGAGCAUUCCGUUAAAUACGGUAAUGACUAACAUAUUCUUAUUACUAUUACUUGUAACGCAUAGACGGA